CCACGCCUGUAAUGUGUUGGAGAAUCGUGUGUUGCUUAGAAACCAUGAAAUGAACGGAGAAGAUGUUUCCACAAUCGAUAGAUACUGUGAGAAUGGAGUCUCCAUCCACAAAAUGGCCUCUGGUCACAGCCAAUAAAUGUAAUAAAUACAUUUUAUACCGCAGCAGAAUAACUCUCCUCACAUGACACUUUAAUGACACGUGUAGCGCGAGCUUUUACUCGCAGAGUCACCCCAGGCUCCUCAUUUAGCACUGUCAAAACAUCCGAGAGAACAAACGAGUGGAGAUCGUCCAGGGGAACAUCCAGGGGAACGCCCAGGGGAACAUCCAGGAGAAAGGUCCAGGGGAACAUCCAGGAGAACAUCUAGGGGAAUGUCCAGGAGAAUGUCCAGAAGAAUGUCCAGGAGAAUAUCCAGAAGAAUGUCCAGAAGAAUGUCCAGGAGAACAUCCAGGAGAAUGUCCAGGAGAACAUCCAGGAGAAUGUCCAGGAGAAUGUCCAGGAGAACAUCCAGGAGAAUGUCCAGGAGAACAUCCAGGAGAAUGUCCAGGACAACAUCCAGGGGAAUGUCCAGGAGAACAUCCAGGGGAAUGUCCAGGAGAAAGGUCCAGGAGAACAUCCAGGGGAAUGUCCAGGAGAACAUCCAGGAGAAUGUCCAGGAGAAAGGUCCAGGAGAACAUCCAGGAGAAUGUCCAGGAGAACAUCAGGGGAAUGUCCAGGAGAAAGGUCCAGGAGAACAUCCAGGAGAAUGUCCAGGAAAACAUCCAGGGGAAUGUCCAGGAGAAAGGUCCAGGAGAACAUCCAGGGGAAUGUCCAGGAGAACGUCCAGGAGAAAGGUCCAGGGGAACGUCCAGGAGAAAGGUCCAGGAGAACAUCCAGGGGAACGUCCAGGGGAACAUCAGACUGAGAAGAAGAGAUCAGCUACAGUGUCUACCUGCUUUAGUAAAAAAAAAAAUAAAAAACUGAACUGUUCAAAAGUUUGUGCUCCCCACACCAUUCUGAACGUAAUUCCUUCACAUAACAUCUUCUGUAAUUACCUCGAUUUCCAAGUUAUACCCUUAUAACCGCCUUGAAGUGGCUUAUCUUCCUAUAACAGCACUGUCUCAGCGUUUUAUUCCAAAGAAGACAGUUUUCCGUUUUAUUAAAGAACAACACGUACGUUUUAUCCGUUUCCAGGUACAUGUAAUGUCGGUUGAACAACUUACUUCCUGUUCACGCUCCCGUUAAAGCAGCCACAUGUUCCCACUCUUUUUCUCCCCUCUCGUGAAGUUCUCCUCUCCAGAACGUAUCGCUACAGCUUUACCCCUGACCGGUACAAAGCUCCGACACUGGAGACUCCUUUCAUAAAUGUGAAAUAAAAACAGAAAACUUGACCAUAUCCCAAAACAAAAAACGUAAACACGGAGCGUCCGCCGCACGAGCCCCUGCGAAUGACCCGUUCCCAUGGAAACGCGGACAUAUCAGAACGAGCGCGUCAAUAAAAAGGUGCGAAAGUCCUGCUAGGAUAAACGCCAUGCCGCUAAGAGCGACGUUGAUGAACCGCGGCAGCCGCCGAGCCGCCAUUAAUCACGCGCCUGCAGGGGAACAUUUCUGGACGACUGCGGAGUUUUCGUUCACCCAGGAUCCGAGAGCGAAAAGGACCUCGCUACUGCUUUUCUCGUCCUUUCCGUUCCGUUUUUUCUCUCCUACCCCCCUUCAGUGAAAGUUAUUAAUAACAUUCUUGACCACAAUUCAUUUUGACAAAUCGCUACUCGGGGUGCUGGGCGAGUUUGACGGCGUCUAACACCGCGCUUUGAUAACCUCCCACCUGCGAAACUCCUGUAGGAUAUUUGACUGAGAGAUAGCGCCUCGGCGAUACAGUUUUACAGGCUGUGUUUUAUUUAUUUACAGAAAUUCUCCGGGCAAUGACAGAAACGCGAGACGGAUCGUAUCUCCACCGACUGUCAGUCAAGUGCCUGGGAAGAGGAAAAUGAAAAAUAUGCAAUUAGUCGGCCGUCAGACGAGGCUUUCUUCGUGCCUCGGACACAAAUCACUCGCCGGUGUCACUCUGGAGGAAAGAAACGGCUUCUACGCCGUUUCCAGACGUCCAGGGUUCCUCUCAAAAGCUCAGUGGUUAAGGUGUUGGUCUACUGCUCAGAAGGUCAUGAGUUCAAACCCCAGCAGCACCAAGCUGCCACUGUUGGGCUCUUGAGCAAAGCUCUUAAUCCUCAAUUGUUCAGAUGUAUAAUUGAGAUAAAUCAAGUGAAACACGGUGGUGGCGGCGUCAUGCUCUGCUCUGGGGACGCUUUUCAUCUUCAAAACGUCUUCAAAGCUUAUCGUUAAGGGAGAACGGAUUGAGCGACAACGACGAGGCCCUUAACCCUCAACUGUUCGGUUGCAUAAAUGAGAUUGAAUGUAAGUCGCACUGGAUAAGGGCGUCUGCUAAAUGCCAUAAAUGUAAACAACAACAACAACAACAACAGAGGGGUAUUACAAGAGAACCUGGUUCAGUCUGGUAAAAAUAAAUAAAUAAAUAAAUAAAGCUCGGAGGAAAGUUCACCUUUCAGCAGGACAAUGCUGUUUCCCGUUCAAGAAGAACAAGGCUUUCUCUGAGUGGCAUCAAGCUGCUUAAUGCCAAUGUGUGUGUGUGUGUGUGUGUGUUAUCAGACAGAGCCUGCCGAUUUCCCCUUCCCUAAACUCUAAAUCCGUGCCUGGCCUGGACGAGCGUGAGAGCCGGGACAGUGGAUUUAUCUUCGGAUUUUUCUUUCUUUUUCUGUUUUCUGGAUUUAUAAAGCGCGCGUGUGU
ensembl:lncRNA